UUUUUUUUUUGGGCAAAACGUUUCGACGCUUGUCCCACCGCAAAAUCUUUUAUUUAUAGGGACAAAUUAAAAUCAAAGUCUCGUGAGAUCAAAAGAAAAGCAAAAUCUUCGCCAGAGAAAUAAAUCAAAAGAAGAAUCAAUGGACGGAACCUGCGAGUCAAGCACCACCUGCACCUUGCCAGACUACGGAGACAUCAUCAGUGUGAAUUUAGGUUCUCAUACGAUUGUAAGCGUUUUCCCUGCGCGGAGAUCUUACGAGAACUUAAAUAUUUAUUAGAUCAUACCAUGGGAAUAGUUGAUUGUUGAUAUAUAUAUACAUCAGCUAUUCAGAUUGCUAUUUACUAGUAAAUCUAUUGUUUGGGUGUUGAAAAAAAUAAAUAUUGCUUCUGGGUUUCUCGUGUGGAGUUGAUCUUCUUUUUUUGAUCUUCAGAUUCAACUUUUGUGACUGUAAAAAAAAUAACAAGACUUUGUUUAUGUUUUUGCAAAUUAUUAUUAUUUUUUUUGUUUAGAUUUACUUUUGCCAAUGUUUUUUUCUUUCUCAACUGUUAUUUUUAUCGGUGAAUUAGCUCAAUAACCAAUUUUGUACCCAAAAUUAAGCUUAUACCCAUUUGUUUUUGUGCAAAGAUAACUUUCAUUCAUCUAAAUCCUCAUAAGAGGUGAGUUCAUACAGCUAAAACUUAAAGGAUUACAUGAAAGAUAAGGAUAAAGGUUCCAUGAGUUUUUCAAGAUGUAUAGCUUCAAGAAGAUGGCAAAGACUGGAAGAUCUUUUGGAACCUGUAAGGAUUCAAAUUUGAAGACUAGCUUCGCGAAAUCCCGUAUCAGCUAGUGAUCAUAAUAAGCUCGCACGAUUGAACGCAUAAGAGCUUUUGUAGAAGUUCUCCAUGUAGGAGGCUGCGGGUGGAGACUUUUUCCCAAUGCCAAAAUAAGGUUCCGGCGAUGGUAUCUCCUUAGAGGAGUAAGUUUGCUGGAUUCGCCAAAGAAUAUCACAAGUCCAAAACGCAGAAAAUGCAGUGGAACUUGGAUAGAUUUUUCGAGGCGGUUUUAUCCAAAAGGUUCGAGAGGGUUGGGAUGCUUCACCCAUUAGUCUGGGGGCGCCAUAGUUAGGCUUGCUAGUGGGAAUAUCCAUACUCAAUAUAUAUUCACAUAUAAGAGCCGAUGCUUGAGUCGCAUCACAACAUCUAAGGUUUGAGAAAAAUACUAAUCCACUGAGCUUGAAAAUUAGAGUUGCAUCCGGUGAUAAAUAACCAGCACUAUCCAUCAGGUUUCGAUAAUUGAAUAAGCAAAUCUCCUCUAAAGGCAUUGUUCCUAGAAUUGAAUGGAGUCCUCGACCAUUCUUUUGCGAGAAACAAGAUUUUAGAGAAAGGCUUUGCAAAGUUAUAGAGAAAUCAGACCUGGAUAUGGGCCACAAGGGAGUUAUUGGGCCACAGCAGAAGAUGAGGCCCAUCCAAACAAACCCUAGUGUUGGUGUUGUCGGGAGAAGGAAAACGCAGUCGCCGCCGUUGUGAAGAAUAAAAAGUGAUGGUCGGCGGUGAAGCAUAAAGAGAGAUCACCUGCCAGCGUUUGAGCUCGUCGUGUGCCGUCGACGUUCCCACCGGAAAAAACACAUCUGAUGGACCAAGAGAUACUCCUGCCAUCAACGAAAUCCGGUGAAAAGGAGCCAUAAAUGGCGUCGGUGCUAGUCCAGAUCUAGAGACUAUUGUUAUGUCGAUGAAGCCUUGCUCUGAUGUUUGAGGGGAGGAGCCGUUGGACUGUUGUGAAGCUUCUGGUUUUGGGUUCGAAGACAAAGAUGCAUCCAAAAUCUGCUUCAGAUCGGAGCCAAUAGAGCAUUGAUUUACUCUUCCGUCGCAAAAAGAACCCUCAGGGAAGAAGACCACAUGAAAAAGGGAUUUGGAUAUUUCGAGAGAUUUGAGUAAACGAAAAGAGAAAUAAGGAAGAAAAAGCUUAAACAGAGCAAAAGAAGGUUGAUAAGAGUUGACAGAUCCCGACGCCGGCGAGCAGAAGCACCACCGGCGUCGGAAGGCAUGGUUGAAGAGAUUGUCUCGAUUUCCGUGGCUGGGAGCGUUUUUGUGGUUCUCUUAUACCCAUCUAAUAUUCAUAAUUCAGCAAAUAACCAUGUUAAUUGAAUUUGGACCAAAAUGCUUUUGUAUUUACGUUUGCAAAAUUGAGAAGAUAGAGAAGCGAGUGGACAUCAGAGAGAAAGAGGAACGGUGAUCAGACAAAAUAGAAAGGAAGAUCCACAGACGGAUAUCGGGAGAGAGAUACACCGGGGGGAAGAAGAAGGUAGAGAUCCACUAGUUAGAGAGAGGUAGAGAAGAGAUCCAUUAAUAAUAAAGAAGAGACUAGGCGGUGGUUGUGACGGAGAUCCGGUGGCGGCUAUGAUGGAAGUCCGGUGGCGGCUAUGAUGGAAGUCCGGUGGCCGCUGUUACGAGGAGAUGCAACAUCCAUAGGAGAGAUGGGUGAAGAGUUUGAAUCACAAACAAGGGGUAAAAUUGUCCCAUAUACAUGAAAUACAGCGUAUAACAACUCGUUUUUUUGGAGAAUUGCUAGUUACUUAAUUAAUGUUUUUUUGUGUGCCAGUUUUGCAAAUUUUCCUAUUUUUAUUAAUAAUAGAGAAAUUGGAGUGUAUAACCAACAAAAAAACUUUAAUUAAGUAACUAACCUAAGACAAAAAAAAGCUGAUAUUCUGUAUAUUACUUAUAAUAUAUCCUAAAAUACCCUUCACCCUUUGGUUCAUGGUUCACCUAUCUUUUUCACUGUCUUCUCUUUUUUUUUUUUUUUCUCUAUUUCUUAUUAGUCUGUGCAACUCAAAUAUUUUUUUUCUGCUUUGGUGAACCAUAUGCCUUCAAAUCUAAUUCGUUUAUUUUUUAAUUAUACCUUUGAUUCAUUGAAAUUUUUUAAAUAUAGAGAUGUUUAUGAUUCGGGUGAUGAUUCCAUUUCUUUCACCAUCAAUUUUGGCAAACUCUUUACGAAUCUCAACGUAGAACUUAAACCAUUGUUAGAAAACUUAAAUCUAUUACUAUUCUAUUUAAUUAAAGUCUACACUAUAUAUUUUUUUUCACCAAGAUUCAAGUGGGAAACUUCCCAAGAGUUGAGACUCAAUUAUGUUUUUUCUUCUCCUUCCUGGACUCACACAUCCUCUCAAUCUAAUUUAUCAUAUUCUGUUUAAAUUUUCUUGAAUCCAUCACAUUCACAUCUAUCCUUAUCCUUUCUCUCAUUCUAUUCUAUUUAUCAAGUCUAUGCAUAUGUUAUUGAUAUAGUAUAAGAUGUUUCUAUUCUAUUUAUCAAGUCUGCGCAUGUGUUAUUGAUACUGUAUAAGAUGUUUCUUACAACUAACAAAUUUAACGCUAAACAAAUAUGUAAUUAAGAUGAUCAAGAACUAUAUAUACUGUUUAAAUUGAUACUAUACUAUUAUUUUUGACUUGCAUUUAAAUUUAUCUUUUGGGUUCCCUAUAUAGUAUCUCUUAGGGUAUAGUUUUUUUUCGGCGUGUAUUCAACAUAUAUUUCUCAAAAGGUUGAUAUACUUAUUUUUUAAAAAGAUAAAAUGUAAAAAACAUAAAUUUUGGAUUUUGAGUUUAUUCAUAAGUUUGAAUUUUUUUCCUUCAAUUGUUAUAUUUUAUUUUUAAAUUUGUUUUUGAUUUUUAAUAUGUUUAUAUAGAAUGUUUUAUGUUCUAUACUGUAUUUUUUGUGUGUUUUGCAUAGAAUGAAACGUUUGAUUUAUAACCACUUUUUUAUAUUGUAAAACAUUAAUAUCCAUUUAAAAAAUUCAAAACACAUUACAUUGAGAAUUUUUUUUAUGUUUCUUUAAAUAUAAUAUGGAGUUUGAAUCAAUUUGUUUUAUGAAAUUACAGCAAAACAAAACUGAAGGGAAGUAAGUAAAUAAUUUAUCCAAUAAAAUAGAAUAAACACCCUACGUGGCUCAUAGUCUCUCUCGUGGCAGUUUUUCACACCAAAUGAGGGCAUUUUCGUCCUAACCGAAACGAAAUGGUUACUUAUUUUGUUUCUCACUUCAACGUGCUAUAUUCUUAAUUUCUUUUGUCAUUUUGGUUAUACAGCUAAUUCACCCUUAAUAAUAUAGGGUAAACUACACCAAAACAAGCCUAAAAAAAAAAAAACUAUACCAAAACAAGCCUUAAAACAUUACAAAUUACAAGAAAACUAUUACAGCCGAAGAGAGGCCCAUUUGGCACACCUCGUGAAGAAGGUUAUCUCCUCCCAUGAAACUGAUAUAGCAAAAGAGAAAGGAGUAAUGGACACGUGUAAGGCGGAGAUUAGAAUUUUGGAUCAACGGCUGAGAUCAUUGGAGCUCAAAAUUGUGAAGAAAGAUGCGUUAAAAGGAAGCAAAAACAGAUUUGGGAUCAUUCAUGAGAUUUGUGUCAAGUUUGUGAUCUUCUUCUUCAUCUGUUCUGAGAAUUCUAUGUGAGUUCUCAUGGUUAUUUCCUCAUUGUAGCUUGAGCUGUUUCUUCUUCUAUGUUCUAGCAAUUUGAGAAGUGAAUGCCGGUCCAAAGUUUCAAAAUUUUAUUUGAUACCCUAUGCAUAACUAAAAAUUUAGGCCUUUUUGUUAAUGUAAAAAAAAAAAUUCUCCCAAAAAAAAUAUUUUAUAAUGUGAGACCCUAAGCGAUGGCUUCACUUGCUUGCCCUCCGGACCGGCUCUGAGUGAAUCCUUGUUUCAUGAACAUCGGUUCAAUCUAUCGUUCGAUUUGUGUUUCAUAGAGAAAUUGUAGUUUCUCUGCAUCAGAAACACACGUGACAACCAAAUUAGGCAAAUACAUGUGUCGCAGGAGAACAUCUAAGCUUUUUCCGUCAACCUCCACUGCCUAAAACUUCUGAUCCGGUGAAUCAAAUCGUAGCCGAACAACACAUAUCUAAACGUCGAUUCAUCAGUUUUUCACCGAUUUACAGUUAAAGGGACAUGAUACAGAUUUUUAAUUUGAUAAACCCCUAACCACUUGCUUGAAAAUUGGAAGCUCCGGUAAAUAUAGCAGCAAAAGGCAUAUUUUAAUUUGCAAAGGAAAAAUAUCUUCUUUUUAAUUUCCUGGCUGCAACCAAAUCUGAAAUUUCCCAUAACCCGUAAAUCCAACAGUACAUGCCGGAAAAGAACCUUUACUUAAGCGAAAAGGAGUUUUCUAAAAAGCGAUUUAGGCUGUCGCUUAGAUCAUGUUUAGGUGUUAGAGUCAGGUGACACCUAGAUAAUCGUUUCGAUCGCCUAAAAUCGAAUAAGUUUUGUGUCAAUGUAUUUUUCAAUUUCUAACCACAAAAGUUGAAAUUAUAAGUUUUAGCUUUAUUUAUAUAUUGUUUGAUAUGAAUUAACAAAAUAUUUUUUUCUAAUUUUGUUUCUGAUUUAAUAUUUUUAUUUUUCUAAUAGAUAGUUUUAUAUGAUUUUUAUCUAUAAUAUCUUAGUAUAUAAAAUAUGGUUUUCAAGGUUAGUAACUCACAUGAUCGUAACACGUGUCAAAUAUAUCGAUUUCAGAUUUUAUCAUGUGUUAAAUUUUUAUUUUUAUUUUUAAUAACUAAAAAGAUAAAUAGAUAAUUAUCAGAAAAUUAUAAAUUUAAACUGUUUUAAAAUAUAAAAAUAUAAUUAUAAGGAAAUUAUAUCAAUAUUUUCAUAAGAGAUUUUGUCAUGUGACAAACACAAAUUUUGUUUUUAACAACUUAAAUAUUGUAAUAAGAUAAUUAUUACAAAAUUUUAAAUUUAAAUAUUUUUAAAUAUAUAAAAAUAUUAUUAUAAGAAAACUAUACGUAUAUAUAAUAAAAUAAUAUAUAUUUUCAUAAAAUCGAAAUUAUAAAAUUAUGCUAAACGUUUUAUUUAUAAGUAACUAACUGUAAAAGAAAAAAAAAAUUUUAAUAGUUUAAGGACUAAAAAAAUUAUAUAAACAUUUAUUAAUCGUAUAAGAAAAAUGAUUGUUAAUUCUUACUUUUAUAUAAACAAAUAGAUUGUCUCAUAAUUUCUUACCAAGCAAACUAAUUUUUUCAGAAUCAUCAUCAUUGCUUUCACUUCAUUCUAUUGCUAAAGCUUUUCUCUUUCUUUUUUUUGGUCAUAAAUUAAUUUUAGGCUAAUAUUAGUAACUAAUCUUUAACUCAAAAAUAAUUAAAGAAAUAUGCAUGAGUCAAAAAAACUUUGGAAACUAACAUUUUUAGAGAUGUGAAAAUUCAAAAAUUCCAAACAAAAGAUAAAAAUACAACAUCAUAUUGUAAUUUGAAAAAAAACAUUAAAUAAAUACUGAUAACACGAAAUAUAAGAAUAAAGAAAAUCAAUCCUAAAAUUCUGACGACCAAAUAGAGACAUCCACUGAGAAUCGUAAGAAAAAAACAAUGUCAUUUAAUAAAAUAGCAUGUCAUACUGAAAGAAAUAGAAGUAGCAUGUGAAUUGUUAUGGAGGUGACGAUGGUGGUGGUUACGAAUGUGAUGAUAAGGUGAUUUUAAAAAAUAACAUAAACAUAUGUUUACGUAACUCAGACUAUAUGUUUACAUAUUAUGCAUAUAUUGUUCAUAUGUUUACGUAACUAUAUAAUUUUAUCUUUUUCAUAGUCAUAAUUUUGUUUUCAUCUUGUCCGCAUUAAAAUUAUAAGGUGUAACGUCAAUAUAAGGUGUAACGUAACACACUUUUUCGAUGCGGUAAAUAAUUUAUAAAAUUCAGUAAUACAAAACAUUUAUGAAUAUCAUAACUUAUAAUAAACAUAUAAAUAUAUAAUUUUAUAAAUAAGGCUAACAUGUAUACGAGAUGAUUUAAUAAUUAAUAUAACAUAACUUCUUUAGUGUUAUAUCUAAAUUACGACAAUGAUUUCAUCAAACAUGUAUAUGAGAUGAUUUAAUAAUUAAUAUAAGCAAUGUACGAGAUUCUGCAUUUUAGGAUUCAAACAACUACCUUGGUUUUUGGAAAUCUGAAGUAUAUCAUCUGUAAUCUCCAGAGUAUUUUGUCCAAAUAGCCCUUCGGAACAACCUAUUAUCAGGUUACAAAUUUUUUACUUCAAUCUAUUGUGAGCAGAAAUAGAUGAUGAAUUGUAAUACAAAAAAAGAACAAAAAAAAAUCUCUAAAAAUAGCAAAUGAUGCAGUAUCACAAAUAACAGAACUUACCCAGAAAGCCUAGCAAAGUGCUUUUUGCGUUGUGCACCUUGAGAGCUUCGAAAAGACCCCAGAUCACAUUAUGUCCACCUAGAGCUUGCCUUCCACAAAACACAAUUCCAACUCUACAGUAGAAAAAGAACUAACUUAAGCUGAAUAUAACUUGAAUUAAACGUAAAAGCCAAUCCAGAAACAUAUAGAGAGAGAGCAAACAGAUCUACAAACCUAACUGAUGGAAGCUCGGUAAUGAUGUGAGCAUCAGCAACUUGAGCAGUUUCCCUAAGGAAGUGAGCCAAAGGCUGGCCUAAGGUAUGCGGGAAAGCUCGAGCCAUGGUAUGUGAAUCAGCAGCCUCAGCCACAGUUGUUCCAUCACCAAGCUCUACGCGGACAGUAGCAGGGGCGGACCCACUAAGGAGAGGGAGGUUAGCUGACCUGGUUAAUAAACUCCGAUACAUCGGAGAAACUAGAUCGGAAAAUGAGAGAAGAUCGAAGAAGAUAACAAACUUUUCUUAAACAUUCAAAUGUUUGUUACAACAACUUAAUCAUCAAAAUGAGAGUCAUUAAACUUAUAUACAUGGCAUUAAACCGAGUAUUAAUCUCAGCUCUGUAAACCGAAGUUAACCAAUAACAUUGGACCGGUUAUAUCCUCAAUACGCCCCCCUCAAGUCUCUAGCUUCGAAGUGUCUGAUGCGGAAGAAAGAGACUUGACAAAGACAUUUGACGAAGUAAGUGAUGAAACGGACCCGGAUGCAAAGCUUUGGUGAGUAUGUCAGCAUGUUGGUUCUCUGUUGGAACAUGUAAAGCUUUAAGAUUACCUGACUUGAUCUGGUCUCUCACCGUGUGACAAUCAAUCUCAAUGUGUUUCGUUCUUUCAUGGAAGACCGGAUUCAUGGAGAUGUGUAGAGCUGACUUAUUGUCACAAAACAAUUUUGCAGGACAAGUAACCCGAACAUGUAGAUCCUUGAGAAGUUGUUGAAGCCAGAUGAUCUCACAUGUAGCUUGUGCCAUACUUCUAUAUUCAGAUUCUGUACUGCUUCUACUUGUAACAGCCUGCUUCUUUGACUUCCAAGAAAUGAGAGAUGUUCCCAAAUAAACACAGAAUCCUGUUAUAGAUCGUCUUGUAUCUUUACAGGCAGCCCAAUCAGCAUCAGAAAAAGCAUUCAAGCAUAUCUCAGAAUCCACAGAGUACAUUAAUCCUUGGCCUGGAUUCGUUUUAAUAUACCUGAGGACUUUAUGAGCAGCCUGCAAAUGAAUAUCAGAUGGUGCAGAGAUGAACUGACUUAGCUGAUGAACUGCAUAAGUGAUAUCAGGUCUGGUUAUGGUGAGAUAUAACAAACGUCCAAUAAGCUCUCUGUAUGAAGUUGGAUUAGGCAAAAGAGUUCCCAUAUCUUUGACCAAAUGUAGAGUAGGAUCCAUAGGAACAGAGCUUGGUUUGCAUCCAGUUAAACCCGCAUCUUCCAACAAAUUCAUUGCAUAUUUCCUUUGACAAACUGAGAUUCCUUUGGAUGAUCUUGAAAUCUCCAAACCAAGAAAGAAUCUAGCAGGGCCAAGAUCUUUGAUUUUAAACUCAGAUCUUAACAAGGUCUUCAAAUUCUCCACUGCUACAUCAUCAUUGCUGGCUAUCAUAAUGUCAUCAACGUACACAAGAACAGCAAUAAUAGAACCAGAGAUCACUUUAACAAAUAAAGUGUUGUCUGCAGGAGAUUGUAUGAAGUUUGCACCCAAUAAGACUGAAGAAAAUCUCUUAUACCAUUGACGAGAAGCUUGCUUCAAGCCAUAGAGAGAUUUUAACAGUCUACAUACCGGAUUAGGAGGAAGCUUGAUAUGUGAUGGUGGUGUAUAACCUUGAGGAAGACUCAUAAAAAUUUCCUCAUCAAGUUCCCCAUGUAAGAAAGCAUUUGAUACAUCCAUCUGCGUCAAAGUCCAACCCUUAGCAGCCGCAAGACCAAGCAUUAGUUUGACACUAGUAAGCUUUGCAACAGGAGAAAAUGUGUCUAGAAAAUCAAUCCCUUCCUGUUGAGUGAACCCUUGGGCCACUAGUCUUGCCUUAUAACGUUCUAUUGAGCCAUCAGGGUUGUAUUUGAUAGUAAAGACCCAUUUACAUCCUACCACAUUCUUACCCGGAGGCAAUGACUCAACAACCCAAGUCUUGUUAAGUUCCAUAGCCUGUAACUCUUCAUCAGCAGCCUUAGUCCAUUUUUCAGAUUUCAUAGCUUGAGCAAAAGUCUUAGGCUCUGUUUCUGUAUUAUAGGCUAGUAUAUAGGAUUGGAAAAGAGGUGUGUAUUUAUCAUAUGAGAUAACAGAAGAGAUGGGAUAUGGUGUAGUCUUUUUAGGUGAUGAAUUAUGAUUUUCUGUAGGGAUAGGAGAAAUAAGAGAACAGGAUGGUGGAUUAGUGUUUGUAGAUGGUAGUGAAGAAAUGAAAGGGACAAGGGCACAAUGAUACUCAGAGAGAUAAGCAGGAGCUUUAGUGUUACGUUUAGGCCUAGCAAUGGGUACAGUAUUAAGGCCUAAAUCCUGUGUUUCUGCAGUACUAGUAGGAAAUAUGGUACUAGGUAAUGCAGAUGCUGAUGAUGAUGCAUUACUAGUAUUAUUAUUAGUAGUAGUAACCAAAGAAUCCUCAUCAGUCAAUGGCAUUGUUUCUACAAAGUGUAAAGGUGCUGGUAAAGGCAAAAUUGUAUUAGGAAACAUGUCAACAGAUUUAGACAACAAAUCACUUGUUUUGAAAGGGAAAAUACUUUCUUUAAAAACAACAUUUCGUGAAAUAGAAAUAGCAUGUGAGUCUAAAUCUAAAACUUUGUAUCCCUUAUAUCCAGAAGGAUAGCCUAAGAAAACACAGGGUCUAGCACGCGGUGAAAACUUAUUUCUUUCAUGCAUAUUAGUAGAAACAAAACAAAGACAUCCAAAGUUCUUUAACAAAGUAUAAUCCGGAUUCUUUUUAAGCAAAAGUUCAAAUGGUGAUUUGUUAUUUAGCAGAGGUGAUGGUAAUCUAUUUAUCAAGAAAACUGCAGUUAAAACACAAUCACUCCAAUAUUGCAUAGGAACAUUUGACUGAAAAAGUAAAGCUCUUGCAACAUUAAGAAGAUGUUGAUGCUUUCUCUCCACAACAGAGUUUUGUUGGGGAGUAUAAGCACAAGAGAAGUAAUGAAUCAUACCUUGUUCUUUUACUAAAUCAUUAAAUCCUAAUUCAGGAGCAUUAUCAGAACGAAUAGCUUUAAUCUUUGUAUUAAACUGUGUAGAAACAAGUUUGACAAAAACAGGAAAGACUUUUGAAACUUCUUGUUUAUUUCUUAACAUAUAAACCCAAGUAGUUCUUGUACAAUCAUCAACCAAAGUAAGAAAAUAUCUAAAUCCUUCUAUAGAUUCAACACUAAAAGGACCCCAUAUAUCCAAGUGAACAAGAUCAAAUGGGUUUGAAGCUAAAUUGUUAUGAGAUAUGUAUGCUAGACGUUUCUGUUUUGCUAAAGGACAAAUGCAACAAGGUGAAGUUUCAGAAUCAAAAGAUUUUAAAGAGGGAAUGCUACUAACAAGUUUCUUUAAAACUAUAGAUGAUGGAUGACCUAAACGCUGAUGCCAAAGAAGUCCAUCAUCAAGAACUGAUCCAGAGAAAGAACAAGCUGCAGGUGUUGAUGUGGAGAGGGAAGUAGUUUCUGUCUCAAGAAUGUAAAGAUUGUGAUAAAGUCUACCCCUCCCAAUCAUCAAGCCCUGAGAAAGUUCCUGGAUAAAGCAACAAUUAACAUAGAAAUGAGCUGAACAUGAUAAAGUUUUUACCAAAGAACUAACACUGAUCAAAUUAAACUUGAAAUCUGGAACAUGCAAAACAUUAUGCAGUAUGAGUUUAUGAGUAAUAUGAAUAGUACCUAUAUGAGUAAUAGAAACCCUAGUACCAUUUGGCAAAGUUACAGUCACA
rnacentral:lncRNA from 1 species